AUACGGAGGGUGCGAGCGUUGUCCGGAAUCACUGGGCGUAAAGGGCGCGUAGGCGGCGCAGUAAGUAGGGGGUGAAAUCUCACGGCUCAACCGUGAAACGGCCUCCUAAACUGCUGUGCUUGAGCACGGUAGAGGCAGAUGGAAUUCCCGGUGUAGCGGUGGAAUGCGUAGAUAUCGGGAAGAACACCAGUGGCGAAGGCGGUCUGCUGGGCCGUUGCUGACGCUGAGGCGCGACAGCGUGGGGAGCAAACAGGAUUAGAAACCCCGGUAGUCC
rnacentral:rRNA from 1 species